GUUUGAUCCUGGCUCAGGACGAACGCUGGCGGCGUGCUUAACACAUGCAAGUCGAGCGGAAAGGCUCCUUCGGGGGUACUCGAGCGGCGAACGGGUGAGUAACACGUGAGUAAUCUGCCCUUCACUUUGGGAUAGCUCCCGGAAACGGGGAUUAAUACCGGAUAUGACCAUGGGUCGCAUGAUCUUGUGGUGGAAAGUUUUUCGGUGGGGGAUGUGCUCGCGGCCUAUCAGCUUGUUGGUGGGGUAAUGGCCUACCAAGGCUUCGACGGGUAGCCGGCCUGAGAGGGUGACCGGCCACACUGGGACUGAGACACGGCCCAGACUCCUACGGGAGGCAGCAGUGGGGAAUAUUGGACAAUGGGCGGAAGCCUGAUCCAGCAACGCCGCGUGAGGGAUGACGGCCUUCGGGUUGUAAACCUCUUUCAGCACCGGCGAAGCUGCUCCUUACCUUUGGGUGGGGGUGGUGACGGUAGGUGCAGAAGAAGGACCGGCCAACUACGUGCCAGCAGCCGCGGUAAUACGUAGGGUCCGAGCGUUGUCCGGAAUUAUUGGGCGUAAAGGGCUCGUAGGCGGUUUGUCGCGUCAGGAGUGAAAUCACCGGGCUUAACUCGGUGCUUGCUUUCGAUACGGGCAGACUGGAGGCAUUCAGGGGAGAACGGAAUUCCUGGUGUAGCGGUGAAAUGCGCAGAUAUCAGGAGGAACACCGGUGGCGAAGGCGGUUCUCUGGGAAUGUCCUGACGCUGAGGAGCGAAAGUGUGGGGAGCGAACAGGAUUAGAUACCCUGGUAGUCCACACCGUAAACGUUGGGCGCUAGGUGUGGGAUCCAUUCCACGGGUUCCGUGCCGUAGCUAACGCAUUAAGCGCCCCGCCUGGGGAGUACGGCCGCAAGGCUAAAACUCAAAGGAAUUGACGG
rnacentral:rRNA from 1 species